rnacentral:rRNA from 1 species
CGCGAACGCUGGCGGCAGGCUUAACACAUGCAAGUCGAGCGGGCGCAGCAAUGCGUCAGCGGCAGACGGGUGAGUAACACGUGGGAACGUACCCUCCGGUUCGGAACAACCCAGGGAAACUUGGGCUAAUACCGGAUACGUCCGUAAGGAGAAAGACUUAUCGCCGAAGGAUCGGCCCGCGUCUGAUUAGCUAGUUGGUGUGGUAACGGCGCACCAAGGCGACGAUCAGUAGCUGGUCUGAGAGGAUGAUCAGCCACACUGGGACUGAGACACGGCCCAGACUCCUACGGGAGGCAGCAGUGGGGAAUAUUGGACAAUGGGGGCAACCCUGAUCCAGCCAUGCCGCGUGAGUGAUGAAGGCCCUAGGGUUGUAAAGCUCUUUCGGUGGGGAAGAUAAUGACGGUACCCACAGAAGAAGCCCCGGCUAACUUCGUGCCAGCAGCCGCCGUAACAC